rnacentral:tRNA from 1 species
UCUCCAAUAGCUCAGUGGCAGAGCAAAUGGCUGUUAACCAUAAGGUCGUAGGUUCAAGUCCUACUUGGGGAG